GACGAACGCUGGCGGCGUGCCUAACACAUGCAAGUCGAGCGAAUGAAGUUCCUUCGGGAAUGGAUUUAGCGGCGGACGGGUGAGUAACACGUGGGCAACAUGCCUCAUAGAGGGGAAUAGCCUCCCGAAAGGGAGAUUAAUACAGCAUAAGAUUGUAGUACCGCAUGAUACAGCAAUUAAAGGAGCAAUCCGGUAUGAGAUGGGCCCGCGGCGCAUUAGCUAGUUGGUGAGGUAAUGGCUCACCAAGGCGACGAUGCGUAGCCGACAUGGGAGGGUGAUCGGCCACAUUUGGACUGAGACACGGCCUAGACUCCUACGGAAGGCAGCAGUGGGGAAUAUUGCAGGAGGAAGGAAACCCUGAUGCAGCAGCGCGGCGGGAGAGAUGACGGCCGUCGUGUAGUAAAGCUCUGUCUUCAGGGACGAUAAUGACGGUACCUGAGGAGGAAGCCACGGCUAACUACGUG
rnacentral:rRNA from 1 species